CUUACGGUCGUCCGAGUUGUAGUCUGGAGAAGCGUUUUCCGUGUCGGACCGUGUACAAGUCCUUUGGAACAGGGCGUCGUAGAGGGUGAGAAUCCCGUCUUUGACACGGACUGCCGAUGCUUUGUGAUGCGCUCUCGAAGAGUCGAGUUGUUUGGGAAUGCAGCUCAUAACGGGUGGUAAAUUCCAUCUAAAGCUAAAUAUUGGCGAAAGACCGAUAGCGAACAAGUACCGUGAGGGAAAGAUGAAAAGCACUUUGGAAAGAGAGUUAAACAGUACGUGAAAUUGUUGAAAGGGAAACGUUUGAAGUCAGUCGCGUCUCCUGGGACUCAGCCUCGCCUUGUCGCUUGGUGUAUUUCCUGGGGCGACGGGCCAGCAUCGAUUUUGACCGUCGGAAAAAGGCUUUGGGAAUGUGGCACCUUCGGGUGUGUUAUAGCCCUGGGUCGCAUGCGACGGUUGGGAUCGAGGACCGCAGCACGCCUUUUUGGCCGGGGUUCGCCCACGUAACGUGCUUAGGAUGCUGGCGUAAUGGCUUUAAGCGACCCGUCUUGAAACACGGACCAAGGAGUCUAACAUGCCUGCGAGUGUKUGGGUGGAAAACCCGGACGCGGAAUGAAAGUGAAAGGUUGGGACCCCUGUCGUGGGGGGCACCGACGCCCGGACCAGACCUUWUGUGACGGUUCCGAGGG
rnacentral:rRNA from 1 species